GGAUAGUCUAGCCAAGUUUCCUCGGAGGACUAGUUCAUCAUCGGGGGUUACAAAUCAAGCUCAAAUUUCUGAUGAGCAGCAACAACAGCAAUCAUCCAUAGCCCAGCACUCGAAUAACAACCAGAGUUCUGUCCAGGCUUCUGCGGUGCAGCAGCUUACAGCUAGCAAUGGUGUGACCAGUGUAAAUAACCCCGCCAACCAACCUUCAACAUCAAACUCAGCAAGCACCAUUGCUGGUCUUCUUCACCAAAAUUCUAUGAACUCAAGACAGCAGAACUCUAUGGCUAAUGCUAG
rnacentral:misc_RNA from 1 species